rnacentral:lncRNA from 1 species
GAGGAUUAAAUGAGUCGAUACAUGCUAAUUAACUCUUGGCCCCGUCUCUGCCUUUGUAGGCCUCUGGUGUCUCUCACUUCUCUAAUGCCAAUCAACUAAAAUUUGGUUGUUGUGUCACCUGGUUGAUGGAUAUCUCCUUAGAAAGCACAAGAUUGAAGACUCCCUGGAUUGCACAAAAAAAACCUCAGAAAGUGAUGGCUCUCCCCUUGUCCCCAGGGAGUCUGCUUGUCAACCCUAAGUGAGAAGGCCUUUGCACGGUGCUCUGGGAUCUGGGACGGACGCAGUCUCCACUUACAGAACUCACCCAGGAGCUCUCCCCUUUGUCAAAUUCCACCCCAUCAUGCUGCAUUUCUCCUAAAGGUGGAGGAAGGAAAGCUGACUGGAUGCCUCCUUCCCCUGGCAGAUGUCAAAGUGGGGAUGUGUCACAGAGUAGAAGGCUGAGGUCCCACUCAGACAAGUCCCACUCUCCAGGAACUACAGGAAUCGAACUCAGCAUUUUGUGCUUUCGAGGCAAGCAUGGUGCCACUGAGCUAAAUCCCGGACCUCCCUGCCCCUUGUCUUAGGCAGGGGACUUUCCACCCUGGACCUCAGGUUCUCAUCUGGUCCUUCCAGCUGUGACAUUCUUUGGCCAAU